AACGCACGAGACCUGCGGACCUGCGGAGGGAUCAUUACUGAAUUGAUUUUGGGGAUGUUGCUGGUCUCUUGAGGCAAUGGUGCACUCCCUCAAACAUUUCACAAUUUCCAUCUUACCCAUGUGCACAUCCUGUAGGUGGUCUCCCAACCCACCCUCCAAGGAAAGGGGGGGAGUGUGUGGGUCUGGUCUCCUAUGUAUUUCCUUGCCAACAUCACACGUUUUGACUAAAUGAAUCCUGUG
rnacentral:misc_RNA from 1 species